CUUGGAUCCACAGCCGCAGUUUGGGUGGCUGUAACCCUGCCCAGGAGGGCGGGGCGUUUGCCUGCUUCGUAGAGCAGGAGGUCUGGGUCUGCAGCCACGGUUUGGGCAGCUGCAGCGGCACCCAGGGAGCUACUGCCCCAGCUCAGAAGGGAUGGGGCUCCCACCGGCUCCAUGGAGUGUGCAGCCCACCGCUCUGCCUUCCUGCUGCCAUCAGUAUCUCCAGGUAAUGCCUGCCCACUCUAACCUGCCUUUGGGGAGAAUCCUGUUACAUCUGAUGAACCAGAAUCCCUCUGCACCCCUCGCAUACUCUCCGUAAUUUUCCACCUGCUGCCCCCACCCUGCUCCUGGCCACCGUCCCUACUUGUUCAUGCUGUAUUCGGAAGUGAGCCCAGUUCCACACUGAGGGCUCUUUCCCCAACAGCAACAGUUCCUGAAUAAAAUCUGUCUUUACUGCUUUAACUACUGUCAGGCGUGGUUUUUUUAAAAUUGGGAAGAGGAUGGUUUUGAAUAUUCACAUAAAUGUGCCAGUGCCCACACAGGCUCUUUUUGGGCUUAUCUCUUAGCAUUUGCAGAUAAAAAUUGUGCUACGUAACUUCACCACAAACUAGUCAACCCAUCACAUCUGAACAAAAAGUCAAUGGCGACGUGCAGCCAAUGCUCUUGGGGGUCUGUCUAGAGCUCCAGGGGGUUGGCAGGAGUUGUGGGCCCCAGGAGGAUGUGAGAUCAAACUGAAGCUCUUGAUGGUAUCUCUCUCACACUGUUGAAAUGACCUUCUGGAAGAACAAGAGGCCCCUUGAUUGCUUCUUGAUUUGACAAAAAUAAACCAUAUAAAAAAGAUUUCAGGACAAAUAAUUUAAACAGACAUCCCUCAAAAGAAGACAUACAAAUGCAACAGGCAUAUGAAAAACUGCCCCAAAUAACGAAUCAUCAGAUAAAUGCAAAUUAAAAGCACAAUGAGAUAUAACUUCACACCUGUUAGAACGGCCAUUAAAGGAAAACCCUGCACACUGUAGGUGGGCAUGUAAAUUAGUACAGCAAUUAUGGAAAACAGCACGGAGGUUUCUCCAAAAAUUAAAAAAGUGGAUCUACUAUAUGAUCCAGCAGUCCCACUCUGGGUAUUUUCCAGAGGAAAUGAAAUCAAUAUGUUGAAGAGAUAUCUGCAUUCCCAUGUUUACUGCAUAGCACUAUUCACAAUAGCCAAGAUACAGAAUUUACCUACGUGACCAUCCGUGGAGGGAAGGAUAAAGAAAAUGUGGUGUGUGUGUGUAUAUAUGCAUACCCACAUGGGAUAAUAGUAUCCCGUUACAUAUAAUAGGAUACUACCGAGCAUUAAAAAAGAAGGAAAUCGGGCUGGGUGCAGUGGCUCACACCUGUAAUCCCAGCACUUGGGGAGGCUGAGGUGGGCGGAUCAUGAGGUCAAGAGAUUGAGACCAUCUUGGCCAACAUGGUGAAAACCCAUCUCUACUGAAAAUACAAAAAUUAGCUGGGCGUGGUGGCAUGUGCCUGUAGUCCCAGCUACUCAGGAGGCUGAGGCAGGAGAAUCGCUUGAACCUGGGAGGCAGAGGUUGCAGUGGGCUGAGAUCGCACCACUACACUCCAGCCUGGUGACAGAGCGAGACUCUGUCUCAAAAAAAAAAAAAAAAGGAAAUCGGCCGGGCACCCCAGUGGCUCAUGCCUGUAAUCCCAGCACUUUGGGAGGCUGGGGUGGGCAAGUCACCUAAGGUCAGGAGUUCGAGACUAGCCUGGGCAACAUGAUGAAACUUAGUCUCUACAAAAACUGCAAAAAAUAGCUGGGCAUGGUGGCAUGUGCCUGUAAUCCCAGCUACUUGGGAGGCUACGGUGGGAGGAUCACUUGAGCCCGGGAGAUCAAGGCUGUAGUGAGCUGUGAUGGUGCCACUGCACUCCAGCCUGGGAAACACAGCAAGAUCCUGUCUCAAAAAACAAACAAACAAACAAACAAACAAAAUGGUUAAAUUCGUUAAAAGAGAAAAAAAAAGAGAAAGAAAAACGCAGGAAAAGAAACCAUAGAAAAAGAGCAGGCAAAUUUUUAAAAGAACUAGGCCAGGUGCAGUGGCUCACACCUGUAAUCCUAGUUUGGGAGGCCAAGGUGGGUGGAUCGUUUGAGCUCAGGAGUUCGAGACCAGCCUGGGCAACAUGGCAAAACUCCGUCUCUUAAAAAAAAAAAAAAAAUUAAAGGGACUAAAUAGGAUUUCUGGAAAUAAACAAUAUAAUCAUUCACAUUAAGUACUCAUUAAGUACUCAUUGGGCAGUUACACAGAAGAUGAGACGUGGCUAAGAGAAAAUGUGUAUCACAAUGAAAAUAUGAAGACAUGGAAAUACUGAAAGUUAAGAAACAUGAAAGAAUUUUCCAGAAUGAUACUUAUCUUUAGACUGAAGAAGCAUAUGGAAUCACAAGAAAAAUAUAAAAAUAAAUACACAUGUAGACAUAUUGUAGUGAAAUGGCUAAACAAUAUUGUGGAAUCAGUUAAGUGGGAAAAGACAGAUUAAAGAUAUGGGAACUUAGGUUUAUAAAAGAAGUCAUGAUCAUGAUCAUGAAAUAAGCACUGUGGGAAAGGAACAGUCAAUGCAGUCUUUCAUACCCAGAUAAAGUAUCAUACAAGAAGGAGGAAACAGGGAUUUUCCGAAAAGCAAAAACUGAACAGAUCACCCAGCAGUGUCAAUAAAUAAUUUUUAAAGGAAGGCAGAAGGAAAGUGAUCCCAGAUGUAAGGUCGGAAUGCAAUAAAGUAUGGAGAGAAAAUGAGCAGAUAAACAUAGAGAAAAAUCUAAGUAUUUACCAUAAAAACAAAAACAUUGGGGUGGGAUAAUGGACUCAGCUCUGUCUGCUUAAUGCCAUUGUGCAGAGAAGUACCCUAAUGCAUAAGCUUUUUAAUGCUGUAAAAUAUAAUAGCUGAAAUUAAAUGCCACUUUUUUCAGAGGUGAAUUAACGGACAGUCUGGUGAAAUUCACAAGCUUUUUGAUGUAUAAAACUUGAUAAAUGGAAUGGGUCCAUCAAUAGGCAAAAGUGUAGCAAUGUAUCUAGAUGAAUAGUAUGUAAUUUCUGCACAGGUCUCUGUUUAGUAAAUACAUCACUGUAUACCAAUCAGGAAUCUUGCUCCAAUAAAGGAACAUAAAGAUUUAAAAAACUGGCCAUUUUGGGGAAAUAUAAAAAACAAGUAACUAAAAUACUAAAUGAAAAUAACAUAAGAUGGAAGAGGGGUGAAUACGGCUCAGGCGUUGUAUGGUUCUUGUUUUGUUCAGAAAGAGGGUAGAAAUAGCAACUGUAGAUUUGAUAUAGGCAUGAGAAACUCUGAAGAUCAGCCACAAGUGUUAGAGAAACAGCAGUUAACUUCUAACUAAUACCCGCAGGGGAACGAUCACCACCAUGGUCAGGAUCUCUGGGGGAAAGUAAAGCCAGGAGAGGACCGCAGUGGGGUGUAAUUGUGUUUACAGACAUAACUUCUUUAGCAGGGUCCAGGUAUGUUGGUACUCAUUGUUCUCCAAACCCUUUCAUAAGUUUGAAAUAUUUCUUUAAAGUAGAAUUCAACAGUUUUUAGUGUAAUUUUGUUUUCUAUAGCAGUGGUUCUCAACUGGGCUUGACUUUGCCCCUCUCCUUCCCUGUAUCACCUUCUCAGAGGAGACUCUGGCCAUGUCUGGGGACAGUUUUGCUCAUCACUGCUGGGGGUGGUCUGCUGCCCCUUGCAGUGCACAGGCUGGCCCUCCCACCGCGAGGAGUUACCCAGUCCAAAACAUCAGCAGUGCUGAGCUUGAGAAACCCUAUCCUUUAGGAUCAGAAUAUGUGUUUUUUCAAAAGUUAGAUUUUCUCCUUUGCUAUUUAAAAAUAAAUGGAAAAGCAGAAAUAACACAUGGUGACUUUGUAGCACUUUUCAUGUACAUAAUCAGUUUCAGAAAGUAAAAAUGCUUGAUGAAGUCAUCAGGAAAAUCCCCAACUUCAUAAAUGGGCAGCAUAAUAUUUUAAAGUGUUAAAAAUUAAUCUUUGGUUGAUUGCUAAAGUAGCAUGAACAUAGCCACAACUAUGGUGGGAUGCUCUUGAUUGGAGUUUCUUUAUAAGAUGAAGUUUCCAAGAAACAGUUAAUUGCUUUCAGUUUCUCCAUCUUCAAGAAAGGGACAAAAAGGUAACUGAUGAAGCUGUUUCUGUUUUCUUGCUAGUGGAACAUUAGUAUUCGACAGUAGUACUGUACUAAAUUCUGGGGCUGCUACUGAAAUGUCAUUAAAUCCCAACUUUACACAUCUGGCACGCUGCCUAAAUGCAGCUCAGUGUGUUAAAGCGUAGAUUACAGUCCAACAAAUCAAUGCUCUCGAAUUGUGGGUUUAUGUAAACCUGCAAUUAAAAACAGUGUGCAAUCACUUUCUUUGCCUACCUGAUGAGGGGAAGAGAAGCAAGCUGUUUUUUUUCAGGGCAAAGAGGUGAGAAUGCCAGCUUAAAACAGAAGCAUUCCCCGGCGCAUGCUUUAAGACAUGGCUUUGGAUAAAGGCAGUUUCUGGCUGGGCAUAGUGGCUCGCGCCUGUAAUCCCAGCACUUUGGGAGGCUGAGGCGGGUAGUUCACCUGAGGUGGGUAGUUCACCUGAGGUCAGGAGUUUGAGACCAGCCUGGGCAACAUGGCAAAACCCUGUCUCUACUAAAAAUGCAAAAAUUAGCUGGGUGUGGUGGCACACGCCUGUAAUCCCAGCUACUUGGAAGGCUGAAGCACAAGAAUAGCUUGAACCCGGAAGGUGGAAGUUAUAGUGAGCUGAGAUUGCACCAUUGCACUCCAGCCUGGGUGACAAAAGGAGACUCCAUAAAAAAAAAAUCUGUGAGUUAUUUGUGGGUAAUGGGGAAAAGCCAAGAAAUGAGGCAGUGGCCAGGUGCGAUGGCUCACUCCUGUGAUCCCAGCACUUUGGGAGGUUGAGGCGGGUGGAUUGCCUGAGGUCAGGAGUUCGAGACCAGCCUGGCCAACAUGGCAAAACCCCGUCUCUAAUAAAAAUGAGCCGUGUGUAAUGGCAGGCACCUAAAUAUUCCAGCUACUUAGAGGCUGAGGCAGGAGAAUUGCUUGAACCAGGAGGCGGAGGUUGCAGUGAACGAGAUCACGUCACUGCACUCCAGGCCGGGUGAUAGAGACUCUGCCUCAAAAAAAAAAAAAAAAAAAAAAAAAAUGGAGGCAGUAACAGCAGGACAGGAACAGUGUAUGGCAUGUGGGGAGUGCUUAUUUUUAAAUGAUGGAGAGAACACCCACAGGGCUCCUGCGGAAAGGCAGGCCCUUCUCCCACCCCUGCAGAAGAGCAGCUCAGUGAGGUCCUUCCAGAAGCAGAGACUGCCAUCUAGCAAUUAAAAAUGGCAGGAUGGGGAACAACAGAGGCUCAUUUGGUGCCUCUCUUGCAGAGUUUGGAGUACAAGGAGGUGCUUCCAAAGUAACAGGCACCAUACUAUUUCUAGUGGCAAAGAGCUGACUGAUUCAUAUUAGAAAAGGACUUAGGCUAGGCCGGGCAUGGUGGCUCAUGCCUGUAAUCCCAGCACUUUGGGAGGCCGAGGCGGGCGGAUCACGAGGUCAGGAGAUUGAGACCAUACUGGCUAACACGGUGAAACCCCGUCUCUACUAAAAAAAUACAAAAAAAAUAUAGCCGGGCGUGGUGGCAGGCACCUGUAGUCCCAGCUACUCGGGAGGCUGAGGCAGGAGAAUGGUGUGAACCCGGGAGGCGGAGCUUGCAGUGAGCCGAGAUCACACCACUGCACUCCAGCCUGGGCAACAGAGAGAAUACUCCUUCUCAAAAACAAAAAACAAAAAACAGAAAAGGACUUAGGCCAUAAGUAUACCCACAGGGCAAAACAAUGUCAGCAAUAGCAGCUUCCUUCAAAUUCAAAGGAAAAAUUUAUGCACUGAUACAGUUAAAGACAUAAUUUUAUCUUUUAUAGCAGGUAGCUGUGGCUGUCAGUCAGCUAUCAAAAACAAUUCAGAAAGAAAAACUUUCCUGACUUGGUCUUUUAAUCAUUUUGGUCAAAGCAAAGCAAAAAAGAGCAUUCUCUUCCAGGAAAUCUUAUUUAUGUAUAUAUUUUUUAUCAUAAUAGAAAAAUCUCUGUAUAGAACUGCUUUGGCUACACUUCUCAUCUUGAGGGUAGAAUGUGUUCUGGACACAAAAGGCUUUUCUUUCUCAGUGACACACCUGCCUUUUUGUUGUGUUUUUUUGUAAAUCAGUUGUCCCAAGAAUCUUCUCAAUGAUAGAGUUGCAAAUCAGCCAUGCCUUCUAGGAAACCCAAUGUUAAUAUUACAUAAUUGGAAAUAUGAAAGAAUAUAGAAUCAGAAUAAAAAUUUUAUCCUUUAUUCAUUUUUAGAUAAUUUCAUCUUACUCAAAGGAGAUUUGGUGACUUAAAAGGGACAGUAUUCAAGAGUUAGAGUUUAAUUGUAAUCUGAUUUACAUUUCAAAUACAGAAUCAUCAAAUUUCAAUAUCUUUUGCUGUCCUUGAGAGAGAUAAUGUAUUUGGUUAAGUGUUUUUAUUUAAGGUAAGACUAAGAUAGCUGACAGGUGCUCAUGCGGGAGGAAGACCAGUUCGCCUUAUUUCAGUUCUUCAGAUGCUGGCAGACUCAUUAAGAUGCUGAAAUUUGUAUUAUGCCUUUUUCUUUUUCUAGCUUUGUAUUAGUUAUCUGUAACUGCAUAAAAAUUAUCCCCACGUUUAGCACUUAAACAAACAUCUUGGUUUGUCUCUCACAAG
rnacentral:lncRNA from 1 species